GAUGAAGAACGCAGCGAAAUGCGAUAAGUAAUGCGAAUUGCAGAAUUCAGUGAAUCAUCGAAUCUUUGAACGCACAUUGCGCCCGCCAGUACUCUGGCGGGCAUGCCUGUCUGAGCGUCAUUUCAACCCUCGCGCCCGGCUUCUGUCGGGGGCGGUGUUGGGGAUCGGCCUCCCGUCUUCCGGGCGGCCGGCCCCUAAAUGGAGUGGCGACCGCGCCGUAGCCUCCUCUGCGUAGUAGUGAAACCCUCGCGGGCGGAGAGCGGUGCGGCCCGCCGUAAAACCCCCAACUCUUCUAAGGUUGACCUCAGAUCAGGUAGGAAUACCCGCUGAACUUAAGCAUAUCAAUAAGCGGAGGA
rnacentral:misc_RNA from 1 species